UAAUUCCUUACAUAAGGGAGAGCAGGCCAUGUCCAGACUUUCUCGGUGACCUCAAGUCCACAUUAACUCUGUCUUUAAUGCUUUUUCGGGUUGCAUCAGUCAUGGACGGAAACUUCUGAGACACAAUAUUAAUGAUGAUCACCCGGAGGUUCGCUGGUAAGCCACAUUUGUCUCGGGAUCCAUCCGUUUGUAUCCCAGUCGUGGUAUCACUCUUCGGUUACACGUCCUUGGAAUAGCAGAACAGCAUAACGGUCCGGGCGGCCCUUGCUGUGCCUGGUGAGCAGUUGGUCAAGUUCUGUUGUCAGGGCUUUCAGCAGGAACGGAAAAUCUACUGGAGACAUUUCAAAAAUACUGGUAGACUUGGGGAUUUUGGUCACGGACAGUGCUAUUCACAAACACUAUCAUCAGAUGCCUGUUUUACGCCGAACUCGAAAGCCCAGGAAAAUGAACAGGUACAGUAGACUACCAUACUUUAAUGUAGGCCUAAUAAUGCUAAAAAUAAUGCUUAAAUAAAUCGACUGCUGGUCUUUACUAUAUACUGCACAUUUUCACAUUGAAUUUAAUUUCCAGCGAGACUAUUCAAGCCAUCGACUCACUGAUGAAUGAAAAUGACGAGCAAUCGGCAAUCUAUAAUCUGCUGGCAUCACGGCACGACAUCAACAUCGCUCUAAUUACAGUAAGAAGAAAGUUGAAGAAACUUGGGUGGACUUACGGAAAGGCUUGGUAUCAUGGCUUGAGAUUUCUUUGAGGAAGAAAUCCUUAGGAGAUAUGCUGGACCCUAUGUCAGAGAGAUUUUUCUGGGACCACAUCGUUUCUUUCAAGACGACCCAAAACACACUGCCGCUUGGGUUUGCAUUUUAAAUAAGGGCAUAAACUGGGUCAAGACGCCAGCAGAGUCUCCUGAUUUUUAAACACGAUCAAACUUGUUUGGCAUCAACAGAAAACAUUCAUCCGUAACUCUGCCAAGCCGACAAGCAAAGAUGAACUGGUCAAGGCCAUCAAGAUGUUUUGGCUAGAGAAAUUGACGAUACAACAAUGCAACAAAUACAUUGAUCAUCUCAGCAAGGUUUUACCUGGGGUCGUGGAGCUGGGUGGAAGUGCAACUAAAAUGUAGUUUAUAUAAACAUCUGCAUUUCAAUGUCCUUUUCUUGUUUAUUUUAUUAACAAAAGCAUAAAGAUGUUACUGAAUAAAUUCUGUACUGCUGUUUUGAGUUAGAAAUGUAACACUUUAGAGUACUUAAGCAUCAUACAUUGCUAGUUGAGGGAUUUUCACAACAGUAGCCGGGUUAUACAAAAAGUCUAAUGUCCUGCUAAUAGGAAACAUUUGCAUGAUGGGCUACACCUGCUACAGUUGUGAAAAACAAGUGUUUGCUAACCUGUUUUCAAAAUGCCUCCGGUUG